GUCAAGAUCAACCUCUGAACUAUAGCAAGUGAAAAACUGAAGGCCUUAUACCUGUAGCUGACAAUCCUUUCUCAAAGUCUGCUGAUAGCCUACCCUCCAAUAUGAUGAGAUCAGAAUAUUCUUGCAGAGCUUCUAAACUAUAAAUUGAGAAAACAUGAGUAACUACCUUUAAGUUGAAGUCUACGUACGUCUGAAUAUUUUAGCAUAAAAUUAC
rnacentral:lncRNA from 1 species